AACGAACGCUGGCGGCAUGCUUAACACAUGCAAGUCGAACGCACCUUCCGGGGUGAGUGGCAGACGGGUGAGUAACGCGUGGGAAUCUACCCUUGUCUACGCGAGAGCUCCGGGAAACUGGAAUUAAUACCGUAUAUGUUCUGAGGGAGAAAGAUUUAACGGGGAAGGAUGAGCCGGCGUUGGCUUAGCUAGUUGGUGGGGUAAAGGCAUACCAAGGCGACGAUCCAUAGCUGGUCUAAGAGGAUGAUCACCCACAUUGGGAAUGAGACACAGCCGAAAAUGCUACGGGAGGGAGCAGUAGAGAAUAUUGGACGAGGGGCGCAAGCCUAAUGAAGCCAUGCCGGGUAAGUGGGGAAGGAAGUAGGGAUGUAAAGCUCUUUCAGAGGGGACGAUAAUGACGGUACCGACAGAAGAAGCACCGGCUAACUACGUG
rnacentral:rRNA from 1 species